AGUGAACGCUGGCGGUAGGCCUAACACAUACAAGUCGAACGGCAGCACAGUAAGAGCUUGCUCUUACGGGUGGCGAGUGGCGGACGGGUGAGGAAUACAUCGGAAUCUACUUUUUCGUGGGGGAUAACGUAGGGAAACUUACGCUAAUACCGCAUACGACCUACGGGUGAAAGCAGGGGAUCUUCGGACCUUGCGCGAUUGAAUGAGCCGAUGUCGGAUUAGCUAGUUGGCGGGGUAAAGGCCCACCAAGGCGACGAUCCGUAGCUGGUCUGAGAGGAUGAUCAGCCACACUGGAACUGAGACACGGUCCAGACUCCUACGGGAGGCAGCAGUGGGGAAUAUUGGACAAUGGGCGCAAGCCUGAUCCAGCCAUACCGCGUGGGUGAAGAAGGCCUUCGGGUUGUAAAGCCCUUUUGUUGGGGAAGAAAAGCAGCAGGUUAAUACCCCGCUGUUCUGACGGUACCCAAAGAAUAAGCACCGGCUAACUUCGUG
rnacentral:rRNA from 1 species